GACGAACGCUGGCGGCGUGCCUAAUACAUGCAAGUCGAGCGCAGGAAGUCAUCCGAACCCUUCGGGGGGACGUUGACGGAAUGAGCGGCGGACGGGUGAGUAACACGUAAAGAACCUGCCCUCAGGUCUGGGAUAACCACGAGAAAUCGGGGCUAAUACCGGAUGGGUCAUCGGACCGCAUGGUCCGAGGAUGAAAGGCGCUCCGGCGUCGCCUGGGGAUGGCUUUGCGGUGCAUUAGCUAGUUGGUGGGGUAAUGGCCCACCAAGGCGACGAUGCAUAGCCGACCUGAGAGGGUGAUCGGCCACACUGGGACUGAGACACGGCCCAGACUCCUACGGGAGGCAGCAGUAGGGAAUCUUCCACAAAGGACGAAAGUCUGAUGGGGCAACGCCGCGUGAACGAUGAAGGCCCUCGGGUCGUAAAGUUCUGUUGUAAGGGAAGAACAAGUGCCGCAGGCAAUGGCGGCACCUUGACGGUACCUUGCGAGAAAGCCACGGCUAACUACGUG
rnacentral:rRNA from 1 species